CAUAUACUGGAUUUGUGGUUGAUUGGUCGACCUUCCCUAUUUGUUCUUCUUCGUGUACUCCAUUUAGAAAUAUUGGUCUAUAGAUAGGUACUCGUCUAAACGUUUGGUACUUUGGGUUGUCGCCAUUUUUUUUUUAAUCAAAACUUCUGCAGUCUGAAAGAAGGUCAAUGACAUCGAAAAGAAAAAUCCGUAAACCGAAAAUGCGAUGACAAUGGAGAUUGGAAG